CCCUUAGAUGUUCUGGGCUGCACGCGCGCUACACUGUCGGAUUCAGCGAGUCAUAUCCUUAACCGAAGGGUUUGGGUAAUCUUUUGAAAGUCCGACGUGAUGGGGAUUGAUCAUUGCAAUUAUUGAUCAUGAACGAGGAAUUCCUAGUAAGCGCGAGUCAUCAGCUCGCGUUGAUUACGUCCCUGCCCUUUGUACACACCGCCCGUCGCUACUACCGAUUGAAUGGUUUAGUGAGAUCUUCGGAUUGGCGCCUACGCGGCUUCUCUGAGGCCACGCUGGAUGCCGAAAAGUUGCUCAAACUGUAUCAUUUAGAGGAAGUAAAAGUCGUAACA
rnacentral:rRNA from 1 species